GGAAUUACCUAAAGCCGUGGAACGUGAAUAUGUCUUUGCCUAUGUCGAUGACCCUUGCAGUGCUACCUAUCCAUUGAUGCAAAAGCUGAGGCAAGUUCUUGUUGAGCUUGCAUUGACAAACGUUAACAAUGAGAAGAAUACAAGUACUUCAAUCUUCCAAAAGAUUGCACCUUUCGAGGACGAAUUAAAGGCUGUUUUGCCAAAGGAGGUUGAGAGUGCAAGGGUGUCAAUUGAGAAUGGAAAUGCAGCAAUUCCUAACAGGAUCAAGGAUUGCAGAUCGUAUCCGUUAUACAAAUUCGUGAGGGAGGAGCUCGAAACUGGGCUGCUAACUGGAGAAAAGGUCAAGUGAGCUGGGGAGGAGUUUGGAAAGGU